rnacentral:rRNA from 1 species
GUAGGGAAUAUUGGACAAUGGGCGGGAGCCUGAUCCAGCCAUGCCGCGUGCAGGAAGAAGGCCUUCUGGGUUGUAAACUGCUUUUACCAGGGGAUAAAAAGGCCAUGCGUGGCAAAUUGAAGGUACCUGGUGAAUAAGCCACGGCUAACUACGUGCCAGCAGCCGCGGUAAUACGUAGGUGGCAAGCGUUGUCCGGAUUUAUUGGGUUUAAAGGGUGCGUAGGCGGCCCUGUAAGUCAGUGGUGAAAUACGGCAGCUCAACUGUCGAGGUGCCAUUGAUACUGCAGGGCUUGAGUACAGACGAGGUAGGCGGAAUUGACGGUGUAGCGGUGAAAUGCUUAGAUAUCGUCAAGAACACCGAUAGCGAAGGCAGCUUACUAGGCUGUAACUGACGCUGAGGCACGAAAGUGUGGGGAUCAAACAGGAUUAGAUACCCUUGUAGUCC